rnacentral:rRNA from 1 species
GAUGAACGCUGGCGGCGUGCCUAAUACAUGCAAGUCGAGCGAACAGAUGAGGAGCUUGCUCCUCUGACGUUAGCGGCGGACGGGUGAGUAACACGUGGAUAACCUACCUAUAAGACUGGGAUAACUUCGGGAAACCGGAGCUAAUACCGGAUAAUAUAUUGAACCGCAUGGUUCAAUAGUGAAAGACGGUUUAGCUGUCACUUAUAGAUGGAUCCGCGCCGCAUUAGCUAGUUGGUAAGGUAACGGCUUACCAAGGCAACGAUGCGUAGCCGACCUGAGAGGGUGAUCGGCCACACUGGAACUGAGACACGGUCCAGACUCCUACGGGAGGCAGCAGUAGGGAAUCUUCCGCAAUGGGCGAAAGCCUGACGGAGCAACGCCGCGUGAGUGAUGAAGGUCUUCGGAUCGUAAAACUCUGUUAUUGGGGAAGAACAAAUGUGUAAGUAACUAUGCACGUCUUGACGGUACCUAAUCAGAAAGCCACGGCUAACUACGUG